rnacentral:rRNA from 1 species
AACGAACGCUGGCGGCAUGCCUAACACAUGCAAGUCGAACGAGACCUUCGGGUCUAGUGGCGCACGGGUGCGUAACGCGUGGGAACCUGCCCUUAGGUUCGGAAUAACUCCCCGAAAGGGGUGCUAAUACCGUAUAAUGUCUUCGGACCAAAGAUUUAUCGCCUUUGGAUGGUCCCGCGUUGGAUUAGCUAGUUGGUAGGGUAAAAGCAUACCAAGGCGACGAUCCAUAGCUGGUCUGAGAGGAUGAUCAGCCACACUGGGACUGAGACACGGCCCAGACUCCUACGGGAGGAAGCAGUGGGGAAUAUUGGACAAUGGGCGAAAGCCUGAUCCAGCAAUGCCGCGUGAGUGAUGAAGGCCUUAGGGUUGUAAAGAUCUUUUACCCGGGAUGAUAAUGACAGUACCGGGAGAAGAAGCUCCGGCUAACUCCGUG